ACGAUUAUGAUGAAAUGGUAGACAUAUGACACUUAAGAUGUCAGGGCAUUAGCCAUGAAGGUUCGAGUCCUUCUAAUCGUA